UAGCAUUCUUCUUGCGCUGGUUAACCUGUAAUCAGGUGAGGGAACACGGUGGAACUCCGUGACUGACGCGCAGCGGUGAUAGAGAACGAAAGCACAUGGACGAAAGUUCCGAACACUGCUUCUUCCGGCUGUGCAAUGCAGCAAACAGAAGUGGGAAGUUGUUGCCUUAGGUGGUUAUUCAACCUUGCUCUUAAGUCCGAAGACCGACCAGUGUAGCAAGUAGGAG
rnacentral:ncRNA from 1 species